rnacentral:rRNA from 1 species
AUUGAACGCUGGCGGCAUGCCUAACACAUGCAAGUCGAACGAGUGGCGGACGGGUGAGUAAUGUCUGGGAAACUGCCUGAUGGAGGGGGAUAACUACUGGAAACGGUAGCUACUACCGCAUAACAUCAGAUGUGCCCAGAUGGGAUUAGCUAGUUGGUGGGGUAACGGCUCAUCAAGGCGACGAUCCCUAGCUGGUCUGAGAGGAUGAGCGGCCACACGGGUACUGGUACACGGUCCAGACUCCUACGGGAGGCAGCAGUGGGGAAGCUUGGACAAUGGACGAAAGCCUGAUGCAGCCAUGCCGCGUGAGUGAAGAAGGCGUUCGGGUUGUAAAACACUUUCGUCAGGGAGGCGUUAGCCGCACAGGAAGCACCGGCUAACUACGUGCCAGCAGCCGCGGUAAUUC